UACGUAGGGGGCAAGCGUUGUCCGGAUUUAUUGGGCGUAAAGAGCGUGUAGGCGGUUUGGUAGGUCCGUUGUGAAAACUCGAGGCUCAACCUCGAGACGCCGAUGGAAACCAUCAGACUAGAGUCCGGAAGAGGAGAGUGGAAUUCCCGGUGUAGCGGUGAAAUGCGCAGAUAUCGGGAAGAACACCCGUGGCGAAGGCGGUUCUCUGGGACGGUACUGACGCUGAGACGCGAAAGCGUGGGGAGCGAACAGG
rnacentral:rRNA from 1 species